rnacentral:lncRNA from 1 species
AUAAAAAAGCAAGAGAUAUGAAUUCUGAUAUCUGUACGUCACGUUCCAAUUCAUUUUGAGAGCCUUAGAGAAUGACUUUGCUGGAACAGUUUUCAUGUUCUUAUUGCAAUUAGAAACGUCCAAACUAAACAGGUUUCAAUACCUGUGGAGAUAAGAGGGCAACCAAGGCAACCAGAAUUUGAGGGGCCAAGAUCCCAGAGAGCAGGGGCAUGCCUUGAGAGAGUCCCAUAUUUGUCACUGUUUUUCCCCCCCAACCCAGGGCAUUUUCAAAUCAAAUCAUGGGGCAGGGAAAUCAUGAAGAAAAUGGUGGCCUAGUGCUUAUAGUAGUCUCACUGACGUGGAAAGACAAAAGCUACAGAACUUGAUUGAGGGGCCAAGUUCCUGGAUAAAAGGUGAACCAAAUGAAAGUGUGGCUGACUUUCUGCAGGCAACUUUUGUUUUGAUGUGUUUUUA